CGGAGGAUCCAAGCGUUAUCCGGAAUCAUUGGGUUUAAAGGGUCCGUAGGCGGGCCAGUAAGUCAGCGGUGAAAUCUCCCGGCUCAACCGGGAAAUGGCCAUUGAUACUGCUGGUCUUGAAUUAUUGGGAAGUAACUAGAAUAUGUAGUGUAGCGGUGAAAUGCUUAGAGAUUACAUGGAAUACCAAUUGCGAAGGCAGGUUACUAUCAAUAUAUUGACGCUGAUGGACGAAAGCGUGGGUAGCGAACAGGAUU
rnacentral:rRNA from 1 species